AUUGAACGCUGGCGGCAUGCUUUACACAUGCAAGUCGAACGGUAACAGGCCGCAAGGUGCUGACGAGUGGCGAACGGGUGAGUAAUGCAUCGGAACGUGCCCAGUCGUGGGGGCUAACGCAGCGAAAGCUGUGCUAAUACCGCAUACGAUCUAUGGAUGAAAGCGGGGGACCGAAAGGCCUCGCGCGAUUGGAGCGGCCGAUGUCAGAUUAGGUAGUUGGUGGGGUAAAGGCCUACCAAGCCAACGAUCUGUAGCUGGUCUGAGAGGACGACCAGCCACAGUGGGGGUGAACAGCGGCCCAGGCCCCGAGGGGAGGCAGAGGUGGGGAAUUUUGGAAAAAGGGCGGAAGCUUGACCAAGCAAUGCCGGGGGGAGGAAGAAGGCUUUCGGGUUGGAAACUGCUUUUUGAGGGAACAAAACGGUUUGAAUUAAACCCCGGGAAUAAGGCGGGAACCGUAAAAAAAAGCCCGGGUAAACACGGU
rnacentral:rRNA from 1 species